GUGCUCGCUUCGGCAGCACAUAUACUAAAAUUGGAACGAUACAGAGAAGAUUAGCAUGGUCCCUGCGCAAGGAUGAAGUCUCCUCAUAUAUUUCAAACAUUGUG